ACUUAUUUAAGCCUAAUUUUUAACCUUUAGCGAAAAAUAAAGUUGAAUAUAAAUGUAUCAAAACAAUUUAGGCACAGGCUACGGUACAAUAGCCAUAAUGUCAUGUAUUGGUGCAUGAUAGCUUUCCCACCAUUGAUAUAAUAAUAAAAUAUUGGACGGUUGAGAUUGGAAGAAUGAAUUGACUACACUACCCUUUCUGCACUCUCUCCUCUUUGGUGGUUCCACGAACUUGUUCAGUAGUGUUGAGCUCAGAAUAAUCAACAAAAAAAUCCGCCCUUUUCUCCUAGAAAUUCAACUAAUCUGUUUUUUUCAUAAGCAAAGUAAUUAUAUUAAAGGGUCCCAAUAUACAAGAGUAAGAAACAACACAGAAACAAGAAAUCAAAACUGGAAAAAACACUAAACUCCUCCAAAACCAAGCCUCACAAGUAGAGAAAAAAUAACAGCCCAAUUACUACAGGAGCCUCGAUGUGGAAUGGAACCAAGAUGCUGGAAGCAAGGAAGCAAAGAAACCAAUCUGUACAGAAAUCACAGCUUGAACAGAGAUCAAAGCUUUCUAUGGGAACUGAAUUCUCGGAACCGUGAAGAUCUCGGCGAGAUUGGGCGCUGGAGACCAUAAAUUCACAAUUAAAAUUUUCAUUUGCUAUCCUUUGUUACCUUCAAUGGAUUUUUGUACUGGUUUUUUGUUUCGAGAAUUAAGUAGCAUAGUGAAAACUGGAAAGGAGGGGGAAAAUGUUCAUUGGAGGUAGUUUGUGAGUAUUCUC